GCGCGGGUGGCGGAACUGGCAGACGCGUACGUUUGAGGGGCGUAUGCCGCAAGGCGUGAGGGUUCGAGUCCCUCCCCGCGCA
rnacentral:tRNA from 1 species